rnacentral:rRNA from 1 species
CCUACGGGAGGCAGCAGUGGGGAAUUUUGGACAAUGGGGGAAACCCUGAUCCAGCAAUGCCGCGUGUGUGAAGAAGGCCUUCGGGUUGUAAAGCACUUUUAUUCGGAGAGAAAUCCCUUGGGCUAAUACCCUGAGGGUCUGACGGUACCGGAUGAAUAAGCGCCGGCUAACUACGUGCCAGCAGCCGCGGUAAUACGUAGGGCGCGAGCGUUAAUCGGAAUUACUGGGCGUAAAGCGUGCGCAGGCGGUUUUGUAAGACAGAUGUGAAAGCCCCGGGCUCAACCUGGGAAUUGCAUUUGUGACUGCAAGGCUAGAGUGUGUCAGAGGGAGGUGGAAUUCCGCGUGUAGCAGUGAAAUGCGUAGAGAUGCGGAGGAACACCGAUGGCGAAGGCAGCCUCCUGGGGAUAACACUGACGCUCAUGCACGAAAAGCGUGGGGAGCAAACAGGAUUAGAUACCCUGGUAGUCCACGCCCUAAACGAUGUCAACUAGUUGUCGGGAAUUAAAUUUCUUGGUAACGCAGCUAACGCGUGAAAGUUGAACCGCCGUGGGAGGUACGGCCGCGAAGUUAAAACGUAACGAAAGUAAGUAGACGGACGUGAGACGNGACGACGGACGACGACGAGGGAGGAGG